GCUUACACAUAGUAGGUAUUUACUGAAUAUUUAUUGAGAAGAUUAGCAUGGUCCCCUUAGCAAGGAUGACAUGCAAAUUCAUGAAGCUUAUCAUAUUUAA
ensembl:snRNA U6 U6 spliceosomal RNA